rnacentral:rRNA from 1 species
UGGGGAAUAUUGGACAAUGGGGGGAACACUGAUCCAGCCAUGCCGCGUGUGUGAAGAAGGCCUUAUGGUUGUAAAGCACUUUAAGCGAGGAGGAGGGUACUGGUAUUAAUACUACCAGCUACUGGACGUUACUCGCAGAAUAAGCACCGGCUAACUCUGUGCCAGCAGCCGCGGUAAUACAGAGGGUGCGAGCGUUAAUCGGAUUUACUGUGCGUAAAGCGUGCGUAGGCGGCUAAUUGAGUCGGAUGUGAAAUCCCCGAGCUUAACUUGGGAAUUGCAUUCGAUACUGGUUAGCUAGAGUGUGGGAGAGGAUGGUAGAAUUCCAGGUGUAGCGGUGAAAUGCGUCGAGAUCUGGAGGAAGACCGAUGGCGAAGGCAGCCAUCUGGCCUAACACUGACGCUGAGGUACGAAAGCAUGGGGUGCAAACAGG